rnacentral:misc_RNA from 1 species
CGCCGAAGGUGGGGCUAAUGACUGGGGUGAAGUCGUAACAAGGUAGCCGUACCGGAAGGUGCGGCUGGAUCACCUCCUAACAGGGAGACAACAAAAUGUUUAAUAUUAUUAUUUUGUCACCUUAGGUCGAUCGGUAUCUCACGUUCUUAAUUUAUUAAGAAUUUCAUUUCCUAAGUUUUUCUAGGUCACACCCAUUAUUUUUCCUGGGCCAUUAGCUCAGGUGGUUAGAGCGCACCCCUGAUAAGGGUGAGGUCCCUGGUUCAAGUCCAGGAUGGCCCAUAUCUCUAUGUUGGGGGUAUAGCUCAGUUGGUAGAGCGCCUGCUUUGCAAGCAGGAUGUCAGCGGUUCGAGUCCGCUUACCUCCACUGAUUACCACCUCUUCCAUAUUCUAUAGAAAGGAAAUUUUUUGAGUCGUGAUCAAAUUCUGAACGAAUCUAGCUUCCUAAUGAAUGCAUUAAGAUGCUGGACUCAUUGAAUUAAUUUCAUUGUUUUCAGAGAACCUUGACAACUGCAUAGAUUAUUUUUUAAAGACAAUAAGCAUCUUUAAUGAUGCAGAUUUAUUAUUUGUGCGAAUGCAUUAAUAACAAUUCUAUUAAGCUGAUGCUUCAAUUUUGAAGUUAUUGGUCAAGCUACAAAGGGCUCACGGAGGAUACCUAGGCACACAGAGGCGAU